UACGAAGGGGGCUAGCGUUGCUCGGAAUCACUGGGCGUAAAGGGUGCGUAGGCGGGUCUUUAAGUCAGGGGUGAAAUCCUGGAGCUCAACUCCAGAACUGCCUUUGAUACUGAAAGAUCUUGAGUUUCGGGAGAGGGUGAGUGGAACUGCGAGUGUAGAGGUGAAAUUCGUAGAUAUUCGCAAGAACACCAGUGGCGAAGGCGGCUCACUGGCCCCGAUACUGACGCUGAGGCACGAAAGCGUGGGGAGCAAACAGG
rnacentral:rRNA from 1 species